UUCGGUUUUCUUUCACUUUCACUGUAUGGGCAAAUUAAAAAUGUCUUUCGGAAGUGUAUUUUUGGAAUGCAUUUUUUUUUGGGUUUUCUUUCACUUUCACUGUAUGGGCAAAUUAAAAAUGUCUUUCGGAAGUGUAUUUUUGGAAUGCAUUUUUUUUUUUGAAAAUACAUGUUUGAAAUCGAAAAUAAAUUUCCAGUUUGUAUUAUUGUGA